CCAUGCUAUACUGCUGAUCAAAAAUAUAUGGGAGAAAGGAAACAUGCCAACAGACUGUAGAGACGGGCUCAUUGCUAUCAUACCCAGGAAAGGAGACCUCAGGGAUUGUAAUAAUUACCAAGGGAUCAUGUUGCUAUCAACACCAGGCAAAGUGUUCAACCGCAUUAUAUUGGAGAGACUGUGGGAGGGGGUGGAUGAAAAAUCUUCCGUGCCUGAUUUUCUCUACUUAUUAAGGUGUGAUGGAAGGCUGUGAUUGGGCCUUCUGAGUUCUGCUUGCAUAUGCUUCCUCUUCCUCUCUCUGAAGCCUGGGGGGAGGGAGAAGACAAGACAAGUACAACUGUAAUAGUUGUCAGAUGGACCGAGGGACACAAGAGGAAGCCAACAACAUGAAGAGCACUUCGAGCACAAGCCCUGCCAGCCAGUGUUGCCAUAAAAACCACAUCCUUUUUUGCAAAGCAGCUCUGAUUGGUCCAGAUGGAUCCCACGCCGCUGGCUCAUCAUCCUUCACCAAAGUUAGAAAGACUGCUUUGUGGGGGACCAGAAGACAGAGACAACUUUAACAAUCAAAAACAAUAAGCAGCUUGCCAGUGUGAGGAGGAUGUUUGUGG